AAUAAACGCUGGCGGCGUGCCUAACACAUGCAAGUCGAGCGAGAAAGUCCUUCGGGAUGAGUACAGCGGCGGACGGGUGAGCAACGCGUGAGUAUCUGCCCUUCAGUGAAGCAUACCACCGAGAAAUCGGUGUUAAUACUGCAUACGUCCCUACGGGGAGAAAGAUGGCCUCUUUGCUGUCGCUGAUGGAUGAGCUUGCGUACUAUUAGCUAGUUGGUAAGGUAAAGGCUUACCAAGGCGACGAUCCGUAGCGGGUCUGAGAGGAUGAUCCGCCACACUGGGACUGAGACACGGCCCAGACUCCUACGGGAGGCAGCAGUGGGGAAUUUUGGACAAUGGGCGCAAGCCUGAUCCAGCCAUGCCGCGUGUCUGAAGAAGGCCUUCGGGUUGUAAAGGACUUUUGUCGGGGAGCAAACCUACUAGGUUAAUACCUUAGUAGCUGAGAGUACCCGAAGAAUAAGCACCGGCUAACUACGUGCCAGCAGCCGCAGUAA
rnacentral:rRNA from 1 species